UACGUAGGGGGCAAGCGUUGUCCGGAUUUAUUGGGCGUAAAGAGCGUGUAGGCGGCCUUGCAGGUCAGCUGUGAAAACUCGAGGCUCAACCUCGAGACGUCGGUUGAAACCGUAAGGCUAGAGUCCGGAAGAGGAGAGUGGAAUUCCCGGUGUAGCGGUGAAAUGCGCAGAUAUCGGGAAGAACACCCGUGGCGAAGGCGGCUCUCUGGGACGGUACUGACGCUGAGACGCGAAAGCGUGGGGAGCGAACAGG
rnacentral:rRNA from 1 species